CCUACGGGAGGCAGCAGUGAGGAAUAUUGGUCAAUGGGCGGGAGGCUGAACCAGCCAAGCCGCGUGAAGGACAGGGUACAGCGUAUGGUAAACCUCUUUUGUCCGGGAACAAUGGCGGUGACUAGUCCCCGGAUGAGGGUACCUGACGAAUAAGCAUCGGCUAACUCCGUGCCAGCAGCCGCGGUAAUACGGGGGAUGCGAGCGUUAUCCGGAUUUAUUGGGUUUAAAGGGUGCGCAGGCGACCUGUUAAGUCAGCGGUAAAAGCCCGGGGCAAAACCCCGGCGAGCCGUUGAUACUGGCGGGCUGGAGUUGGGGAGAGGUACGGGGAAUGCGCGGUGUAGCGGUGAAAUGCUUAGAUAUCGCGCAGAACCCCGAUUGCGAAGGCAUCGUACCGGCUCCACAUUGACGCUGAGGCACGAAAGCGUGGGUAUCGAACAGGAUUAGAUACCCCAGUAGUC
rnacentral:rRNA from 1 species